UUGGAGGGCAAGUCUGGUGCCAGCAGCCGCGGUAAUUCCAGCUCCAAUAGCGUAUAUUAAAGUUGYUGCAGUUAAAAAGCUCGUAGUUGAAUUUCGGGACCAAUAUGUCGGUCGUGCCUCGGUACGUACUGGYAUUWUUGGUUUCUCCCUUCUGAMGAACCWUGAUGUCAUUAAUUUGGUGUCWUGGGRAAUCAGGACUGUUACUUUGAAAAAAUUAGAGUGUUUAAAGCAGGCUCRCGCUUGAAUACAUUAGCAUGGAAUAAUGAAAUAGGACGUUUGAUUCUAUUUUGUUGGUUUCUAGGAUCGACGUAAUGAUUAAUAGGGAUAGUUGGGGGCAUUAGUAUUCAAUUGUCAGAGGUGAAAUUCUUGGAUUUAUUGAAGACUAACUACUGCGAAAGCAUUUGCCAAGGAUGUUUUCAUUAAUCAAGAACGAAAGUUAGGGGAUCGAAGACGAUCAGAUACCGUCGUAGUCUUAACCAUAAACUAUGCCGACUAGGGAUCGGAUGAUGUUAAUUUUUUAAUGACUCAUUCGGCGCCUUACGGGAAACC
rnacentral:rRNA from 1 species